rnacentral:rRNA from 1 species
UACGUAGGUGGCAAGCGUUGUCCGGAUUUACUGGGCGUAAAGCGUGCGCAGGCGGUUUUGUAAGACUGCCGUGAAAUCCCCGGGCUUAACCUGGGAAUGGCGAUGGUGACUGCAAGGCUAGAGUUUGGCAGAGGGGGGGUAGAAUUCCACGUGUAGCAGUGAAAUGCGUAGAGAUGUGGAGGAACACCGAUGGCGAAGGCAGCCCCCUGGGCCGACAUUGACGCUCAGGCACGAAAGCGUGGGGAGCAAACAGG